rnacentral:misc_RNA from 1 species
AAGUCGUAACAAGGUUUCCGUAGGUGAACCUGCGGAAGGAUCAUUAAAAUAAGUAUAGGGGGAGAGUCCCUUAAAAAAGGACGCUAACCUUAUUUAUAUUCAAACCAUUAACUCUUGACCCUAAGUGGUAAUAUGUUAGCAAUAAAUCAAGUCUAAGACAAUAAUCAAUAAAGAACUUUUAGCAACGGAUCUCUUGGUUCUC